rnacentral:rRNA from 1 species
AAUUUUGGACAAUGGGGGAAACCCUGAUCCAGCCAUCCCGCGUGUUCGAUGAAGGCCCUCGUGUUGUAUAGCACUUUUGGCAGGGAGGAAAAGGUUCUGGCUAAUAAUCGGAACUGCUGACGGUACCUGCAGAAUAAGCACCGGCUAACUACGUGCCAGCAGCCGCGGUAAUACGUAGGGUGCAAGCGUUAAUCGGAAUUACUGGGCGUAAAGCGUGCGCGGCGGUUUGGCAAGAAGGAUGUGAAAUCCCGGGGCUUAACCUCGGAAAUGCAUUCUUAGCUGGCAGGAUAGAGUAUGUAAGAGGGGGGUAGAAUUCCACGUAUAGCAGUGAAAUGCGUAGAGAUGUGGAGGAAUACCGAUGGCGAAGGCAGCCGCCUGGGAUAAUACUGACGCUCAUGCACGAAAGCGUGGGGAGCAAACA